rnacentral:rRNA from 1 species
UACGAAGGGGGCUAGCGUUGCUCGGAAUCACUGGGCGUAAAGGGUGCGUAGGCGGGUCUUUAAGUCAGGGGUGAAAUCCUGGAGCUCAACUCCAGAACUGCCUUUGAUACUGAAGAUCUUGAGUUCGGGAGAGGUGAGUGGAACUGCGAGUGUAGAGGUGAAAAUUCGUAGAUAUUCGCAAGAACACCAGUGGCGAAGGCGGCUCACUGGCCCGAUACUGACGCUGAGGCACGAAAGCGUGGGGA